rnacentral:rRNA from 1 species
UGGGGAAUUUUGGACAAUGGGCGAAAGCCUGAUCCAGCAAUGCCGCGUGUGUGAAGAAGGCCUUCGGGUUGUAAAGCACUUUUGUCCGGAAAGAAAUCCUUGGCUCUAAUACAGUCGGGGGAUGACGGUACCGGAAGAAUAAGCACCGGCUAACUACGUGCCAGCAGCCGCGGUAAUACGUAGGGUGCAAGCGUUAAUCGGAAUUACUGGGCGUAAAGCGUGCGCAGGCGGUUUGCUAAGACCGAUGUGAAAUCCCCGGGCUCAACCUGGGGACUGCAUUGGUGACUGGCAGGCUAGAGUAUGGCAGAGGGGGGUAGAAUUCCACGUGUAGCAGUGAAAUGCGUAGAGAUGUGGAGGAAUACCGAUGGCGAAGGCAGCCCCCUGGGCCAAUACUGACGCUCAUGCACGAAAGCGUGGGGAGCAAACAGGAUUAGAUACCCUGGUAGUCCACGCCCUAAAACGAUGUCAACUAGUUGUUGGGGAUUCAUUUCCUUAGUAACGUAGCUAACGCGUGAGGUUGACCGCCUGGGGAGUACGGUCGCAAGAUUAAAACUCAAAUGAAUUGACGGGGUCAUAGCUG